GUAGUCUCGCACAGAUGCAUAUCAAUAAGCGGAGGAAAAGAAACUAACAAGGAUUCCCCUAGUAACGGCGAGUGAAGCGGGAAGAGCUCAAAUUUGAAAUCUUAAAGGGUUUCCCUUUACGAAUUGUAGUUUAAAGAAGUGUUUUCUGUUGAGGUUUUGGUAAAAGUUCUUUGGAAUAGGACAUCAUAGAGGGUGAGAAUCCCGUAUUUGACCUUUACUUUCAACUUUGUGAUACACUUUCAAAGAGUCGGAUUGUUUGGGAAUGCAGUCCAAAAUGGGUGGUAAAUUUCAUCUAAAGCUAAAUAUUGGCGAGAGACCGAUAGCGAACAAGUACCGUGAGGGAAAGAUGAAAAGAACUUUGAAAAGAGAGUUAAACAGUACGUGAAAUUGUCAAAAGGGAAGCGUUUGGACACCAGUGUUGUUUUUCUGAAAAUCAAUUAAAGAACUGUUUAUGCUAAGCUGUUUAGACUUUAUCAGCUAACUGUUUAGUUUUGAGCUUUUCUUUAAUGCACUUUUCAGUUAACAAGUCAACAUCAAUUUCUUUUGCUGUAAAAAAGCUUGAGGAAGGUGGCUUGAGAUUCGUCUUAAGUGUUUAUAGCCUCUUGCCUAUGCAGUCGGAGAGAUUGAGGUCUGCAGCGUAGAUCCUUCGGGGCUAAAUGCAUUUGUGCUAAGUUAUAGCAUUUUAUAGACAACUUGUUGACUAUGAUUUGUCUUGUAGCUUACUCGCUUAUGUUAUUUUACCUACGCUUAGGAUGUUGAACUACUGAGACAUAGA
rnacentral:rRNA from 1 species